rnacentral:rRNA from 1 species
ACACGACCGUACCGCAAACCGACACUGGUGCGCGAGAUGAGUAUUCUAAGGCGCUUGAGAGAACUCAGGAGAAGGAACUCGGCAAAUUGACACCGUAACUUCGGAAGAAGGUGUGCCUUUAGUAGGUGAAGUCCCUCGCGGAUGGAGCCCAAUGAGGUUGCAAAAAAUCGGUGGCUGCGACUGUUUAUUAAAAACACAGCACUCUGCAAACACGAAAGUGGACGUAUAGGGUGUGACGCCUGCCCGGUGCUGGAAGAUUAAAUGAUGGGGUGCAAGCUCUUGAUUGAAGUCCCAGUAAACGGCGGCCGUAACUAUAACGGUCCUAAGGUAGCGAAAUUCAUUGUCGGGUAAGUUCCGACCUGCACGAGUGGCGUAACGAUGGCCACACUGUCUCCUCCUGAGACUCAGCGAAGUUGAAAUGUUUGUGAUGAUGCAAUCUCCCCGCGGAAAGACGGAAAGACCCCAUGAACCUUUACUGUAGCUUUGUAUUGGACUUUGAACAGAUCUGUGUAGGAUAGGUGGGAGGCUUUGAAGCAGGGUCGCUAGAUCUUGUGGAGCCAACGUUGAAAUACCACCCUGGUGUGUUUGAGGUUCUAACCUAGGCCCGUAAUCCGGGUUGGGGACAGUGCAUGGUAGGCAGUUUGACUGGGGCGGUCUCCUCCCAAAGUGUAACGGAGGAGUUCGAAGGUACGCUAGUUACGGUCGGACAUCGUGACGAUAGUGCAAUGGCAUAAGCGUGCUUAACUGCGAGACUGACAAGUCGAGCAGAUGCGAAAGCAGGACAUAGUGAUCCGGUGGUUCUGUAUGGAAGGGCCAUCGCUCAACGGAUAAAAGGUACUCUGGGGAUAACAGGCUGAUACCGCCCAAGAGUUCAUAUCGACGGCGGUGUUUGGCACCUCGAUGUCGGCUCAUCUCAUCCUGGGGCUGUAGCCGGUCCCAAGGGUAUGGCUGUUCGCCAUUUAAAGAGGUACGUGAGCUGGGUUUAAAACGUCGUGAGACAGUUUGGUCCCUAUCUUCCGUGGGCGCUGCAGAUUUGAGGAAGCCUGCUCCUAGUACGAGAGGACCGGAGUGGACGCACCUCUGGUGUAUCGGUUGUCACGCCAGUGGCAUUGCCGAGUAGCUAUGUGCGGAAGAGAUAACCGCUGAAAGCAUCUAAGCGGGAAACUCGUUUCAAGAUGAGAUCUGCCGGGGCCUUGAGCCCCCUGAAGAGUCGUUCAAGACCAGGACGUUGAUAGGUCGGGUGUGGAAGCGCAGUAAUGCGUUAAGCUAACCGAUACUAAUUGCUCGUGCGGCUUGACCCC